rnacentral:rRNA from 1 species
CCCAAGCGUCGAGCGGCGGACGGGUGAGUAACGCGUAGGAAUCUACCCAGUAGCGGGGGAUAGCCCGGGGAAACCCGGAUUAAUACCGCAUACGCCCUAAGGGGGAAAGGCCGGGAUCUUCGGACCGGUCACUAUUGGAGGAGCCUGCGUUGGAUUAGCUAGUUGGUGAGGUAAAGGCUCACCAAGGCGACGAUCCAUAGCUGUUCUGAGAGGAAGAUCAGCCACACUGGGACUGAGACACGGCCCAG